rnacentral:rRNA from 1 species
ACGCUAGCUACAGGCCUAACACAUGCAAGUCGAGGGGAAACGGGAAAGCAGCUUGCUGCUUUUUGUCGUCGACCGGCGCACGGGUGAGUAACGCGUAUCCAACCUUCCCAUAACUAAGGGAUACCCCGUAGAAAUGCGGCCUAAUACCUUAUGUACUCCCAUGACGGCAUCAGAGUGGGAGCAAAGAAUUUCGGUUAUGGAUGGGGAUGCGUCUGAUUAGCUUGCUGGCGGGGUAACGGCCCACCAGGGCAUCGAUCAGUAGGGGUUCUGAGAGGAAGGUCCCCCACAUUGGAACUGAGACACGGUCCAAACUCCUACGGGAGGCAGCAGUGAGGAAUAUUGGUCAAUGGGCGUAAGCCUGAACCAGCCAAGUAGCGUGCAGGAUGACGGCCCUAUGGGUUGUAAACUGCUUUUACAGGGGAAUAAAGUGAGACACGUGUGUUUCAUUGCAUGUACCCUGCGAAUAAGGACCGGCUAAUUCCGUGCCAGCAGCCGCGGUAAUACGGAAGGUCCUGGUGUUAUCCGGAUUUAUUGGGUUUAAAGGGAGCGUAGGCCGCAGAUUAAGUGUGUUGUGAAAUUCAGGCGCCCAACGUCUGGCUUGCAGCGCAAACUGGUCUGCUUGAGUUCGCGCAACGCAGGUGGAAUUCGUCGUGUAGCGGUGAAAUGCUUAGAUAUGACGAAGAAUUCCGAUUGCGAAGGCAGCUUGCGGGAGCGUUACUGACGCUGAAGCUCGAAAGUGCGGGUAUCGAACAGGAUUAGAUACCCUGGUAGUCCGCACGGUAAACGAUGGAUGCCCGUUUUUGGCUUUUAAAGUCAGAGACCAAGCGAAAGCAUUAAGCAUCCCACCUGGGGAGUACGCCGGCAACGGUGAAACUCAAAGGAAUUGACGGGGGCCUGCACAAGCGGAGGAACAUGU